rnacentral:rRNA from 1 species
UACGAAGGGGGCUAGCGUUGCUCGGAUUUACUGGGCGUAAAGGGCGCGUAGGCGGUUCGGACAGUCAGACGUGAAAUUCCUGGGCUCAACCUGGGGGCUGCGUUUGAUACGUGCGGACUUGAGUGCGGAAGAGGGUCGUGGAAUUCCCAGUGUAGAGGUGAAAUUCGUAGAUAUUGGGAAGAACACCGGUGGCGAAGGCGGCGACCUGGUCCGAUACUGACGCUGAGGCGCGAAAGCGUGGGGAGCAAACAGG